GACGAACGCUGGCGGCGUGCCUAAUACAUGCAAGUUGAGCGCUGAAGGCUUGUACUUGUACCAACUGGAUGAGCAGCGAACGGGUGAGUCACGCGUGGGGAAUCUGCCUUUGAGCGGGGGACAACAUUUAGAAACGAAUGCUAAUACCGCAUAAAAACUUUAAACACAAGUUUUAUGUGUGAAAGAUGCAAUUGCAUCACUCAAAGAUGAUCCCGCGUUGUAUUAGCUAGUUGGUGAGGUAAAGGCUCACCAAGGCGAUGAUACAUAGCCGACCUGGUAGGGUGAUCGGCCACAUUGGGACUGAGACAGGGCCCAAACUCAUACGGGAGGCAGCAGUAGGGAAUCUUCGGAAAUGGACGAAAGUCUGACCGAGCAACGCCGCGUGAGUGAAGAAGGUUUUCGGAUCGUAAAACUCUGUUGGUAGAGAAGAACGUGGGUGAGAGUGGAAAGCUCAUCAAGUGACGGUAACUACCCAGAAAGGGACGGCUAACUACGUG
rnacentral:rRNA from 1 species